AUUGAACGCUGGCGGAAUGCUUUACACAUGCAAGUCGAGCGGCAGCGCGGCCUUCGGGCUGGCGGCGAGCGGCGAACGGGUGAGUAAUGCAUCGGAACAUGCCCAGUCGUGGGGGAUAACACUUCGAAAGAAGUGCUAAUACCGCAUACGUCCUGAGGGGGAAAGCGGGGGAUCGCAAGACCUCGCGCGAUUGGAGUGGCCGAUGUCAGAUUAGCUAGUUGGUGGGGUAAAGGCCUACCAAGGCGACGAUCUGUAGCUGGUCUGAGAGGAUGAUCAGCCACACUGGGACUGAGACACGGCCCAGACUCCUGCGGGAGGCAGCAGUGGGGAAUUUUGGACAAUGGGGGCAACCCUGAUCCAGCCAUUCCGCGUGAGUGAAGAAGGCCUUCGGGUUGUAAAGCUCUUUCGGCAGGAACGAAACGGUGGGCUCUAACAUAGUCCGCUAAUGACGGUACCUGAAGAAGAAGCACCGGCUAACUACGUG
rnacentral:rRNA from 1 species